rnacentral:snRNA from 1 species
CGAUGUGAGGGCGAUCUGGCUGCAACAUCUGUCACCCCAUUGAUCACCAGGGUUGAUUUGGCUGAUCUGGCUGGCUAGGCGGGUGCCCCCUUCCUCCCUCACCACUCCAUGUGCAUCCCUCCCGAAGCUGCGCGCUCGGUCAAAGAGGACGAUCUUCCCCGCUAGAGGAGGACCAGUCUUCGGUCAAGGGUAUAUGAGUAGCUGCGCUCCCCUGCUAGAACCUCCAAACAAUCUCUCAAGACUUUUUUCUGUAUUGGUGUUGUCUUCUAUUUUGUUUAUUAAUGUCAUAAUUUUCAUUGUAGAGAUCUUUCACAUCUCAAAGUACUUGAACUUUUUG